rnacentral:lncRNA from 1 species
CACCCAAAGACUAAUUACCAUCCAGCACUGUACACAUGUGCCCUGUCACCCCUUUUGUCCUCCUCCCUCCCCCAUUCCUCUCUGGUAACUGUCACUCUAAUUUCAGUAUCUCUGUGUUCGUCGUUUUCCUCUUUUACUUACGAGUGAAACCAUACGGUAUUCUACUUUCUCCAUCUGACUUAUUUCUCUUAGCUUAAUACCCUCAAGGUCCAUCCAUGCUGUCGCAAAAGGCGAGAUUUCAUCUUUUUUUAUAGCUGAGUAGUAUUCCAUUGUGCACAAAUCCGGUAAGACUUUUUGUAGUGAGCCUCUAUUAUAGCAAUUACCACACGGUGUCAUAACUAUUUGUUUACUUGUCAUUCCCGCCCCGGCCCCGCCCUUUCUCUGGAAACUGAAACUUCCUGUAGGUGGGGGCCUAGACUGUUUACCUUUGUACCCACGGGCUUCUCUCCAGUUGAGACAGAGUAAGAACUCAAUAAAUGGUGAGGACACAGUGAAAAGGCACUGGCUAUGAACCAGGAAGAGAGUCCUCACCAGAAGGUGACCCUUCCUCUUGGGCUGCCCAGCCUCCAGAACACCCCCCGGUACAUAGUUGUAUAUUCUUCGUUGUGGGUCCUUCUAGCUGUGGCAUAUGGGACGCUGCCUCAGCGUG